GAUGAACGCUGGCGGCGUGCCUAAUACAUGCAAGUCGAGCGAACAGACGAGGAGCUUGCUCCUCUGACGUUAGCGGCGGACGGGUGAGUAACACGUGGAUAACCUACCUAUAAGACUGGGAUAACUUCGGGAAACCGGAGCUAAUACCGGAUAAUAUAUUGAACCGCAUGGUUCAAUAGUGAAAGACGGUUUUGCUGUCACUUAUAGAUGGAUCCGCGCCGCAUUAGCUAGUUGGUAAGGUAACGGCUUACCAAGGCAACGAUGCGUAGCCGAUCUGAGAGGAUGAUCGGCCACACUGGAACUGAGACACGGACCAGACUCCUACGGGAGGCAGCAGUAGGGAAUCUUCCGCAAUGGGCGAAAGCUUGACGGAGCAACGCCGCGUGAGUGAUGAAGGUCUUCGGAUCGUAAAACUCUGUUAUUAGGGAAGAACAAAUGUGUAAGUAACUAUGCACGUCUUGACGGUACCUAAUCAGAAAGCCACGGCUAACUACGUG
rnacentral:rRNA from 1 species